rnacentral:rRNA from 1 species
AACGAACGCUGGCGGUAGGCUUAACACAUGCAAGUCGAACGCUCCGCAAGGAGAGUGGCAGACGGGUGAGUAACACGUGGGAACGUACCCUUUACUACGGAACAACUCCGGGAAACUGGAGCUAAUACCGUAUGUGCCCUUCGGGGGAAAGAUUUAUCGGUAAGGGAUCGGCCCGCGUUGGAUUAGCAAGUUGGUGGGGUAAAGGCCUACCAAGGCGACGAUCCAAAGCUGGUCUGAGAGGAGGAUCAGCCACAUGGGGACUGAGACACGGCCCAACCUCCUACGGGAGGCAGCAGUGGGGAAUAUUGGACAAUGGGCGCAAGCCUGAUCCAGCCAUGCCGCGUGUGUGAUGAAGGCCUUAGGGUUGUAAAGCACUUUCACCGGAGAAGAUAAUGACGGUAUCCGGAGAAGAAGCCCCGGCUAACUUCGUGCCAGCCGCCGCCGUAA